rnacentral:rRNA from 1 species
UGCGUAGGUGGUUUGAUAAGUUAUCUGUAAAGGCCCUGGGCUCAACCUGGGAAGGCCAGAUAAAAACUGUUGGACUCGAGUAUGGGAGAGGGUAGUGGAAUUUCCGGUGUAGCGGUGAAAUGCGUAGAGAUCGGAAGGAACACCAGUGGCGAAGGCGGCUACCUGGCCUGAUACUGACACUGAAGCACGAAAAGCGUGGGGAGGCAAAACA